AGGGGCGGCGACGGCGGCAGCGGCUGGCUUGUCAGCUCAAGUUCAUCCCCGUUUGGGCUGAGCUCAAGGACCUAUUCCAAACUGGGGCAUGACUCAAAUUGCUAUCAGUGACUUGUGAAAGAAUUAUGUCUAGAGAGUUAUCUGCCAGGCCGAGGAACUACCUUGGUUUCUCAUCAGAUGCUGCAAGCUGCAAUAUAGAGUAGGUGAGGGCAGAGGGAGGCUUCUCCCGUCGUCAUGGCUCGGCGGGAAGCUCAGCAGUAUAUGCUGCAGGUGAGGAGGAAUCAAUGGGGGCUCUCGAGCUUCGUCUUUGUUUCCAGGGAUAGGGUUGCUGUAGCUUGAGUCUGGUGAUGAUGGGACUUCAAAUCCAACGACCUGCACCCCUUCCUGCACCCAUAUUAUGUAUGUUAACCACCCAUCAUCAUAAAUACAAACAUGAUAGAGACAACAGUUUAGGAAAGAAAGAAAGCGGUCAAUAUACUUACAUGGUCAUCCCUGCCUUGUCGGUGCUCCAUAUUGCUGCAA